rnacentral:lncRNA from 1 species
UUGGUGUCCAUCUUCCCCUCUGCACUCUAAGUUCAGCACAGGCCAAAUCUCUCUCUCUCUCUCUCUCUCUCUCUCUCUCUCUCUCUCUCUCUCUCUCUCCCCAUCUAUGGGGCUACAGCCUGGCAUAGGAUGGGCUCUUGAACUGGGCUAGAAGGCUUCACUGUGUGAGUCAAACAGGACUAGGGUGUCCAGCUAAUAGCACUUCUUCCUCAUCAGGGCCGACGGAGAAGGCAGGCGAGUCUGGUGGAAGAGAGUCACUGGCGGCAUUUGCUGCUGCUAAAGGGGUUUGCAAUUCCUGUAUUCAACAAACCAAGGACACAGAGAAACGGCAUCAACAGAAUCAGAACUAUUUACAGAAAGCCCAGAGACAACACAGCCUGUGGUGAAAGACAGAGACCAGGACGUCUGCUCUCACUUCUGGCCAACUCAGUUAUAAAACAUCGAGGAAGCGGACUUUAAAAUGUGCCAAUCACUUAAGCACGCAAACAUUUCUCCAAAGACGAUGUACAAAUAGCUGACAGACAUGUGAAAAGAUG